rnacentral:rRNA from 1 species
GUUUGAUCGCAGCUCAGUUGAACACUUUGGCGGGAUGCUUUACACAUGCAAGUCGAACGGCAGCACGGACUUCGGUCUGGUGGCGAGUGGCGAACAGGUGAGUAAUGUAUCGGAACGUGCCUAAUGUGAGGGGAUAACUACGCGAAAGCGUAGCUAAUACCAUACGCCCUUCGGGAAAGCAGGGGACCUUCGGGCCUCGCACUAUUAGAGCAGCCGAUAUCGGAUUAGCUAGUUGGUGGGGUAACGGCUCACCAAGGCGACGAUCCGUAGCAAGCUGGUUUGAGAGGACGACCAGCCACUGGGACGGGGCGGUCGAACUCCUACGGGAGGCAGCAGUGAAAUUUUGGACAAUGGGGGAAACCCUGAUCCAGCCAUCCCGCGUGUGCGAUGAAGGCCUUCGGGUUGUCAAAACACUUUGGCAGGAAAGAAACGUCAUUGGGUUAAUACCCCGCGAAACUGACGGUACCUGCAGAAUAAGCACCGGCCUUACGUGCCAGCAGCCGCGGUAAUACGUAGGUGCAAGCGUUAAUCGGAAUUACUGGGCGUAAAGCGUGCGCAGGCGGUUCCGGAAAGAAAGAUGUAUGAAAUCCCAGAGCUUAACUGGAACUGCAUUUUUUUUUUAACUACCGGGCUAGGGGAAUAUCAGAGGAGGUGGAAUUCCGCGUGUAGCAGUGAAGUGCGUAGAUAUGCGGAGGAACACCGAUGGCGAAGGCAGCCUCCUGGGGGACUAUUUUCGACCAUGCCUGAAAGCGUGGGAGCAAACGGGAUUAGAUGCCCUGGUAGUCCGCGCGCCUAAACGAUGUCAACUGGCUAUUUGGGGCCUUCGGGCCUUGUUAGGCGCAGCUAACGCGUGAGGGGAUUGACCACUGGGAGAUACGGUCGCAAGAUUAAAACUCAAAGGAAUUGACAGGGACCCGCACAAGCGGUGGAUGAUGUGGAUUAAUUCGAUGCAACGCGAAAAACCUUACCUACCCUUGACAUAUACUGGAAUGCCGAAGAGAUUUGGCAGUGCUCGCAAAAGAGAACCGGAACACAGGUGCUGCAUAGCUGUCGUCAGCUCGUGUCGUGAGAUGUUGGGUUAAGUCCCGCAACGAGCACAACCCUUGUCAUUGGGACCCCUUACGAAAGGGCACUCUAAUGAGACUGCCGGUGAUGAAGCCGGAGGAAGGUGGGGAUGACGUCGGAAGUCUCGUAACCCUUGUAGGUAGGGCUUCACACGUCAUACAAUGGUCGGGACAGAGGGUCGCCAACCCGCGAGGGGGAGCCAAUCCCAGAAACCCGAUCUCGUAGUCCGGAUCACCCGGUCUGGCCUCGACUGCGUGGAAGUCGGAAUCGCUAGUAAUCAUGAAUCCAGCAUGUCGCAGGCUGAAUACGUUCCCAGGUCUUGUACACACCGCCCGUCACACCAUGGGGUGGGUUUUGCAGAAGUAGUUAGCCUAACCGCAAGGGGGGCGAUUACGUGAGAUUCAUGACUGGGGUGAAGUCGUAACAAGGUAG